rnacentral:rRNA from 1 species
AUUGAACGCUGGCGGAAUGCUUUACACAUGCAAGUCGAGCGGCAGCGCGGCCUUCGGGCUGGCGGCGAGCGGCGAACGGGUGAGUAAUGCAUCGGAACAUGCCCAGUCGUGGGGGAUAACACUUCGAAAGAAGUGCUAAUACCGCAUACGUCCUGAGGGGGAAGGGGGGGGUCGCAAAACCCUCCCCCGUUUGGGUUGCCGAUGUCAGAUUAGCUAGUUGGUGGGGUAAAGGCCUACCAAGGCGACGAUCUGUAGCUGGUCUGAGAGGAUGAUCAGCCACACUGGGACUGAGACACGGCCCAGACUCCUACGGGAGGCAGCAGUGGGGAAUUUUGGACAAUGGGGGCAACCCUGAUCCAGCCAUUCCGCGUGAGUGAAGAAGGCCUUCGGGUUGUAAAGCUCUUUCGGCAGGAACGAAACGGUGGGCUCUAACAUAGUCCGCUAAUGACGGUACCUGAAGAAGAAGCACCGGCUAACUACGUG